GAAAAAGAAUAUGUGCAUAAACCAACCAAGAAAUCAAGCAUAAAUCUUAUUACAAAUUGUUACAAAUCAAAUUAGAAAAACUCCAAUAAAAAACUCCAGAAGAACUCCAUCACCGUUCUUCUUCAAGUCGUCCCGAUACAGGUAAGUAACAUCUUCUCCCGAAUCCUUGCAAGAAAAUAAAAACAGAAACUAAACAAGUUUUUAUGCAUAAUUUCUUUGCAUAAACAAAUGUUCUUUUUUAUGAUUCUUAUGCACAUUUGUAAAUUUCUAUGUAUAAACAAAUGUUCUUUUUUAUGAUUGUUGCUAUGUAGAUUGAAUCUGUCUAACUAAAAUACUUGCGUUUUUGCAGAUUUCAAAAUAUAAGGUAUGUAAUAUAAUAUGCAUGCUUUUAUUGAUUUUAAUUAAUUAUUUCAUAUUUUAAUUCAUGCUUAUUUCAUAUUCUAAUUCAUGUUUAUUUUUUUAUGCAGAUUUCAAAAUAUUAGGUAUGCUUUUAUUGAUUUUAAUUAAUUAUUUCAUAUUUUAAUAUUUUACUUGAUUUUAAUAUCUAAUUGCAGAUUUCAAAAUAUAUGACAUAACAUAAAUUUGUGUUAUUGGAAUUAUGAAUUGCAUCGGUUUUUAUGAAGCUUUUAAUUUGCGUUUUAAGUUCAUAACAAGAUACAAUAACCAAAGAGUUAAGGUUUUUAUUUAUGUUCUAAGUUCGAUUUUAAGUUGGUUGUUAAGUUCGCCAAGUCAUACAAUAACCCAUGACAUAAGUUUAAUGGACGCAAUCGAGACAUGGAAACAGUAUUCCCAACGUUCGGAAAUAAGUGCAAAGGAGUGCAUGUGAUUAAGCAAGUACAUUGCGAAAAGAAAAAAAAUGUGAAACACACUAUUUUAUAUGUAGUAUGUUGAAUUACUUUACAUUAGUACUAAUAUUUAGAUUAACCGAUUCACUAUUUAGAUUGACAUAUUUGUAUGACCUCAUUGUUUUUAAAUAUGAACUAUGUGAAUUAUUUUGAAGCGCUUAAUAUUUGACGUGAUUAGUUGUAACAACCCAAUUUUAGG